AAGUCGUAACAAGGUUUCCGUAGGUGAACCUGCGGAAGGAUCAUUAUCGAGUUUUGAAACGGGUUGUAGCUGGCCUUCUUUGGCACCGUGCACGCCCUGCUCAUCCACUCUACACCUGUGCACUUACUGUAGGUUUCAGACGCGAUGCGAGUUUAGGCUCGCGGAGCUUAUGGGGCUUACGUUUCAACCACAAACGCUUCAGUAUCAGAAUGUGUAUCGCGAUGUAACGCAUCUAAAUACAACUUUCAGCGACGGAUCUCUUGGCUCUC
rnacentral:misc_RNA from 1 species